ACUGAUUGAUGGUGCUUGCACCUGAUUGACGAUGGAUCACCAGUGAGUGGCGGACGGGUGAGUAACACGUAGGUAACCUGCCCCGGAGCGGGGGAUAACAUUUGGAAACAGAUGCUAAUACCGCAUAACAACAAAAGCCACAUGGCUUUUGUUUGAAAGAUGGCUUUGGCUAUCACUCUGGGAUGGACCUGCGGUGCAUUAGCUAGUUGGUAAGGUAACGGCUUACCAAGGCGAUGAUGCAUAGCCGAGUUGAGAGACUGAUCGGCCACAAUGGAACUGAGACACGGUCCAUACUCCUACGGGAGGCAGCAGUAGGGAAUCUUCCACAAUGGGCGCAAGCCUGAUGGAGCAACACCGCGUGAGUGAAGAAGGGUUUCGGCUCGUAAAGCUCUGUUGUUGGAGAAGAACGUGCGUGAGAGUAACUGUUCACGCAGUGACGGUAUCCAACCA
rnacentral:rRNA from 2 species